rnacentral:siRNA from 1 species
UAAUCGUUGCGUCUAUAUAUGUU